rnacentral:rRNA from 1 species
AACGAACGCUGGCGGCAUGCCUAACACAUGCAAGUCGAACGAGACCUCCGGGUCUAGUGGCGCACGGGUGCGUAACGCGUGGGAACCUGCCCUUAGGUUCGGAAUAACUCCCCGAAAGGGGUGCUAAUACCGGAUAAUGUCUUCGGACCAAAGAUUUAUCGCCUUUGGAUGGGCCCGCGUUGGAUUAGCUAGUUGGUAGGGUAAGAGCCUACCAAGGCGACGAUCCAUAGCUGGUCUGAGAGGAUGAUCAGCCACACUGGGACUGAGACACGGCCCAGACUCCUACGGGAGGCAGCAGUGGGGAAUAUUGGACAAUGGGCGAAAGCCUGAUCCAGCAAUGCCGCGUGAGUGAUGAAGGCCUUAGGGUUGUAAAGCUCUUUUACCCGGGAUGAUAAUGACAGUACCGGGAGAAUAAGCUCCGGCUAACUCCGUG